rnacentral:rRNA from 1 species
GACGAAGGGGGCUAGCGUUGUUCGGAAUUACUGGGCGUAAAGCGAGUGUAGGUGGUUGUCCAAGUUGGAUGUGAAAUCCUGGAGCUCAACUCCAGAACUGCCUUCGAUACUGGAAAGCUCGAGUCCGGGAGAGGUGAGUGGAACUGCGAGUGUAGAGGUGAAAUUCGUAGAUAUUCGCAAGAACACCAGUGGCGAAGGCGGCUCACUGGCCCGGUACUGACGCUGAGGCGCGAAAGCGUGGGGAGCAAACAGG